AGCCAACCAGGACAAGGCCGGGGAGCUCGAGACAGGCAGCCUAGACCAAGAACCGGAAGGAGGAAAAGGAACCGGAGGGAGGAAGAGGAGGGGCGGGACGAGACCACCAGGCAAGAGUCCAAACUUUCCCGCGGCGACCUAACUGCACCUCCAGUGUCUUCCCCCAGAGGGCACAGAAGCAGCAAGAAGGGCGGGAACACUUGACUGGGGUCCAUGCAGCUCUAGGCUGAGUCUUGCAGGGCUGAGCCCCCCAGGCCUGCUCUCCUGUGUCCUGGCCGCUCCGUCAGUGCCUGCCAGUGGGGUCCAGAGGGACCGUUUUUUUAACGCCUCUUUUGCAGUCUCCCGCAUUGACUUCAUAACCAAGUUCUGGGUCCCUGCCUCUGGAGUGCCUGAUGAGACAAAACGGCUCCUCGUCCUGCAUCCCCGCUGCUACUUCCAGAAUUCAGGCCUCGUGGUCUGGAGCCUGCACUGUUCCAUGAGCCUCCUGAGCAACCUGGAGUCCUCUGUCUUUCUUCCCUCAGUGAGAUGCGCCUACUUCUCCCUGGAGAAGCUUGAGGAAGCAGAAAUGCUGGAGAUGAGCUGCUCCUCACUCUCACUCCUGGGUGUGCUGGGCAGUGGGGUGCAAUGUGCACGUAGGUGCACACUCUCCCUGGGCGGCAGCGAGCAGCAGAGGUCUGAUCUGUGGUCGGAUGACGAGAGGAAGUGCAAGUAAAGCAGCUGCAGCGACGGAGUUUUGCUCUUGUUGCCCAGGCUGGUGCAAUCUCGGCUCACCACUACCUCUGCCUUCUGGGCUCAAGCGAUUCUCCUUCCUCAGCCUCCUGAGUGCUGGGAUUACAGAGACCUCGUCCGCACAGGGGCUUGUUCUUCUGUGUCUUUGCAGGGCUGUUUUGGACUCAGUAUUCACCUAAGCACUCCAAAUUGUAAGUAACCCCAGAGAUCAUGGAGUGUCCCACUGCCCCUCCAUCUGAAGGCUGUGACCUCUCCCCCAAGGAGGAGGUGCUCGCAUGCGUCCAGUGCCCUGCCCAUUAGAUUAGGGAGGGUUCCCUUUUUUGCUCUCUUGCACUCAUUUGUCCGCCUUUUAGCUUUCCUUUUCUGCCCUGACUCUCACAGGGUCGUGCGGAUGUGCGAUGUAGGAGGAGGAGAGAGGUAAAGUGGAGGAAUAGGAGCUGGAGGGGAGGAGGAGAGAAGAAAAGAGGAGAAGGAGGGGGAAGAGAGGGAGCGGGUUCAAGGAGGGAAGGAGGAGGAGAAGGAGAGGAGGAGGAGAUGAGACCAAGGAGAAGAGGUGAAGGAGGAGAGGAGGACACAGAAAAGAGAAGAAAGAGGAGAGGAGACGGAGAAGAGGAGGAGGAGUAACAAAGGAGGAAGAAGAGGAAGAGGACUAGAAGAGCAAGUAAGGAGGAGGAGGGGGGAGUAGGAGGAGAGGAGAAGGACAGAAGGGGAAGGAGAGGCAGAUGUGGAGGAGAGGAGGUGGAGGACAGGAGGGGAUGAGAAAGAGGAGGAGAAAAGGAGAGGAGAGGGAUGAGGGGGGAGGAGGAAGAGAAAAGAACAGGAGGAGAAGAGGAGGAGAAAAGGAGGAGGAGUGAAA
ensembl:lncRNA EOLA2-DT EOLA2 divergent transcript